UUCUGAAAAAGGCAAAACCGUCGAAAGGCGGUGACGCAAAGCUUCCGGUCUACGGGGAUUUGUUCCCUAGGAUAGCGGGGUUACCAGG
rnacentral:ncRNA from 1 species